UUACACUGUUCCUCUUUGGACUUUCAGAAAUAAAAACCCAGCCCCCCUGGUGUGCAGUCACACUCGCGCCCUGAGGAGUGUUAAAAUUCAGCUCGAGAGGCACUUAGUGUCACAGAAGGGUAGAUAAAGAAACAAGAUUUCAAGCAGGAAGAAAUGAUAAAAAAGAAGCAGGACUUCAAGUGUCCUGUGAAACAGAGCAUUUGGCCUCCGGCAUACACAUCCAUGGGAGACGGCUCAACUUCUUUAUAAAGUGGUGAGUUUUGUGUGAGCACAGAUGCAUUUUGUUUUCCUAUGAGAAACCAGUGAUUAAAUUAUCAGAAAGCAAGCUAAAAACCAGGCUGCCUGAAUAUUCCCUCACACAUCCCCUGUGUCUCCCCAGCACCUUCUGCUCAGGAGGUGUGGGCUUUAUCUCCAAAGCUUUAGUUUAAAUGUCCAACACAUCUUAUUAAUGAAAGUAAUAAGCUGUUGUUUAUUAUAUGCCAUGAUGGGGAAUAUGACUAUUUAAUAUAAAUCUGACAUUUAAAUUCCACUUAGUUCUGAGAUGUGGACGAUAUCAAGGCAUAACUCUUUACCCUGGAGUAAAAACUCCCUGGGUCUGCAUUUUAAAGCAUUGAAGUUUUCAAAGUAAUCAGGUUCCUUUUUUUUUUUUUUUCCAGAGGAACCAAAUUGUGAAGACAUCUGUUCUGUUAUUAAUUUCACAUACAUCUUAAGCUCCUCAAGGCCAGAAAUGAGGCUUCAUUCACGUCGAAUUAAUGAAACAUGAUUGUUCAAGGGGAUAGAUUUUGACAGGAAUAUGUCAUGGCUCCGGACUGAACCGUAAAAUUCUAGAGGACGGGGAAUAGAAUCCAUGGGUUUUUUUUCUCUGCAGAACCUAACAACAUUUAAUGACAUCACCUUGGCUAAGAAUCAGGAAUUCAGAACACUAAGUUACCCUGAACUAUCUAAAAAUGAAAAUGGAAAGAUAAUUCUGCUCCAUGUCUGGUGUACUCCAACUGCGGAUAAGGACAGGAGAGAAGAAGGAGAAGAAGACCACUGAAGACAGAGGCAGUGAUUGAAAUGAUGCUACCACAAGGCAAGGAAGCCAGAAG
rnacentral:lncRNA from 1 species